rnacentral:ncRNA from 2 species
UUAUCGCGCAGAGGGAGAGACUGGCCUAGCGCCAGCGCCGAAGGAGCAACCGCCCCGGAAACUCUCAGGCAAAAGGACCUUGCGCGAUAA